AAAACGUAAGUAAAAAAUAUUUUUUUCAACCCUUUUGCGAAGCUAUCGUGCACUCGAACAAUAUAAAUUUUUUCCAGCACGUGUCUAAUGGGAAUGAGGUUUUAGCGUGCUGACAUGUUCAAGCAAAGAGUAAGUAAAAGGACACAAAGUUUAUUUGUUUUCUUUUUGCAAAGAAACUUUUUUUAGAUGAUUAUUUUUUUAAGUUGCAGAAGUUAAGAUUACAGCUCAGUUAUACACGUGAUAUGACGUAUAAAGCUGUUAAUUGUGUCGCUGUAAUAAUAAGAAAUUCGUGCUUCCUCAUUGACCUCGUCGGUCAGUUAAGUUGAGUCACUGGGUUACUCGACUACCCACUGCUUAAUCACAAUGAACUUUUCCUCAAGCUCAAGCUCUGACCUACUUCACUCAUAAAUUCAUUUACAUAUCUAAUGUAUCAUAUUCUAUAAAUAUUUAUCAGAGGAUCGGAGAUAAAUAUUAUAAUAAUAUAAAGAAAAAAAAAAAAUAUUUAAUAACUCCGGGCAUGAAAUUAAAAAUUCGUGGAUGAGUUUAACGGUCAAGUGCAUGCGACCAGCUCAUUUAUUUUUCUGCUGACAUUUAAGGUUUUAGAUGAUAAUAAUAUUUAAACGGUUAAAUUUUUAAUAAAUUAUUACAACUAGUAACUAGUCUAAAAAUAUUUCCUGCAAUAUGAGUGAUGAUUACUAUGUUAAUAAUGCAUAAAUUAUCUUCCGUGUCAUAAUCGUUUCAUUAAAAAUUCUGAAAAGUAUAAUUCAGUAUGAAAUCAUUUAAUUAAUCUUGCAGUUGCAUGCUCCUUCUUAAAUGAUGAAAUAAUUUAAUUUUUAAGCUCGAAGAUUUUUAAGCGUACGACCAAUGAAUGUCUAAUUUUAAAACUGUCUGAGUUUAACAGCCGCGGAAAGUUUUGGAGUUAGCUGGCAGAGUUGACCACUUCCGUCAAUUUUAGAUGACAUCAUAAAAAUAUAUCUCGGUAGACUUUUUGUUGGUAGAAUUGUCGUUGAGUAGGUUUAUCACCAUAAUAAAAGUGUGAAUUCGCCUUACCAUUAAUCUACGUCUAAAACUAAAAAAAAAAUGUCAGUAAAAUAUCAAAUUUUUAUAAUUAUUGCGCUUUUAAUUUGUGCUAUUCAUUCAAUUGAUAUUAAAGGAUGCAUCUUACCGUACCAACAGUGUAACUUAUAUGUAAGAGGAUCUUGCUGCGGUGGUUGGACUUGUAAAUGGCACUUCGGGGAUGUGUUGACUGGCAAGUGUGAGCCCUAAACCUCCAAAUGAAAUAUUUAUUUCUCCAUGAAUAAUAAAACAUAUAAUCAAAAAAUAAAGAUUGUAAUUAAAAUUUGUAGUCAUGAACAAUAAAAGAAUAGAAGCUUUAGAUUGAAAGAAUAGAAAAA